rnacentral:rRNA from 1 species
GAGUUUGAUCCUGGCUCAGGAUGAACGCUAGCGGCAGGCUUAACACAUGCAAGUCGAGGGGCAUCGGGAGGGAAGCUUGCUUUCCUUGCCGGCGACCGGCGCACGGGUGAGUAACACGUAUGCAACCUGCCCUCUUCAGGGGGACAACCCUCCGAAAGGGAGGCUAAUCCCGCGUAUAUCGGUUUCGGGCAUCCGAGAUCGAGGAAAGAUUCAUCGGAAGAGGAUGGGCAUGCGGCGCAUUAGCUUGACGGCGGGGUAACGGCCCACCGUGGCGACGAUGCGUAGGGGUUCUGAGAGGAAGGUCCCCCACACUGGUACUGAGACACGGACCAGACUCCUACGGGAGGCAGCAGUGAGGAAUAUUGGUCAAUGGGAGAGAUCCUGAACCAGCCAAGCCGCGUGAGGGAAGACGGCCCUAUGGGUUGUAAACCUCUUUUGUCGGAGAACAAAACCCGGGACGUGUCCCGGACUGCGUGUAUCCGAAGAAAAAGCAUCGGCUAACUCCGUGCCAGCAGCCGCGGUAAUACGGAGGAUGCGAGCGUUAUCCGGAUUUAUUGGGUUUAAAGGGUGCGUAGGCGGUCCGUUAAGUCAGCGGUAAAAUUGCGGGGCUCAACCCCGUCGAGCCGUUGAAACUGGCAGACUUGAGUUGGCGAGAAGUACGCGGAAUGCGCGGUGUAGCGGUGAAAUGCAUAGAUAUCGCGCAGAACUCCGAUUGCGAAGGCAGCGUACCGGCGCCACACUGACGCUGAGGCACGAAAGCGUGGGGAUCGAACAGGAUUAGAUACCCUGGUAGUCCACGCAGUAAACGAUGAAUGCUGGUUGUCCGGGUCGAAUGAGAUCUGGGCGGCGAAGCGAAAGCGAUAAGCAUUCCACCUGGGGAGUACGCCGGCAACGGUGAAACUCAAAGGAAUUGACGG